AUCAACUUUCGAUGGUAGGAUAGAGGCCUACCAUGGUGGUAACGGGUAACGGGGUGUUAGGGCACGACACCGGAGAGGGAGCCUGAGAAACGGCUACCACAUCCAAGGAUGGCAGCAGGCGCGCAAAUUACCCAAUCCCGUCACGGGGAGGUAGUGACAAUAAAUAACAAUACGGGGUUCUAUAGGAUUUCGUAAUUGGAAUGAGUACAAUUUAAAUCUCUUAACGAUCAACAAUUGGAGGGCAAGUCUGGUGCCAGCAGCCGCGGUAAUUCCAGCUCCAAUAGCGUAUAUUAAAGUUGUUGCAGUUAAAAAGCUCGUAGUUGAAUUUCGGGGUUAGUAGGUUGGUCAUGCCUCUGGUAUGUACUGAUCUCACUGAUUCCUCCCUCUUGACGAACUGUAAUGUCAUUAAUUUGGUGUUGCAGGAAAUCAGGACUGUUACUUUGAAAAAAUUAGAGUGUUUAAAGCAGACUUAGGCUUGAAUACAUUAGCAUGGAAUAAUGAAAUAGGACGUUUGAACCUAUUUUGUUGGUUUCUGGGAUCGACGUAAUGAUUAAUAGGGAUAGUUGGGGGCAUUAGUAUUCAAUUGUCAGAGGUGAAAUUCUUGGAUUUAUUGAAGACUAACUACUGCGAAAGCAUUUGCCAAGGAUGUUUUCAUUAAUCAAGAACGAAAGUUAGGGGAUCGAAGACGAUCAGAUACCGUCGUAGUCUUAACCAUAAACUAUGCCGACUAGGGAUCGGAUGAUGUUAAUUUUUUAAUGACUCAUUCGGCGCCUUACGGGAAACCAAAGUGUUUGGGUUC
rnacentral:rRNA from 1 species